rnacentral:rRNA from 1 species
CCUACGGGAGACAGCAGUCGAGAAUCAUUCACAAUGGGGGAAACCCUGAUGGUGCGACGCCGCGUGGGGGAAUGAAGGUCUUCGGAUUGUAAACCCCUGUCAUGUGGGAGCAAAUUAAAAAGAUAGUACCACAAGAGGAAGAAACGGCUAACUCUGUGCCAGCAGCCGCGGUAAUACAGAGGUCUCAAGCGUUGUUCGGAAUCACUGGGCGUAAAGCGUGCGUAGGCUGUUUCGUAAGUCGUGUGUGAAAGGCGCGGGCUCAACCCGCGGACGGCACAUGAUACUGCGAGACUAGAGUAAGGGAGGGGGAACCGGAAUUCUCGGUGUAGCAGUGAAAUGCGUAGAUAUCGAGAGGAACACUCGUGGCGAAGGCGGGUUCCUGGACAGUAACUGACGCUGAGGCACGAAGGCCAGGGGAGCGAAAGGGAUUAGAUACCCCUGUAGUC